GGAACCUAUAGAACAGACAGACAGACAGACAGACAGACGUACUUUAUUGAUCCUGAGGGAAAUUGAGUUUCAUUUCAGCCGCACCAACCAAGAAUAGUGUAGAAAUAUAGCAAUAUAAAACCAUCAAUAAUUAAAUAAUAAUAAGUUAAUCUUUGCAAGUGGAAAUAAUUCCAGGACCAGCCUAUUGGCUCAGGAUGUCUGGCACUACGAGGGAAGGUUAGAAAAGUUUGAUGGCCACAGGCAGGAAUGACUUCCUGUGACGCUCAGUGUUACAUCUCGGUGGAAUGAGUCUCCGGCUGAAUGUACUCCUGUGCCUAACCAGUAUACUAUGGAGCGGAUUGGAGUCAUUGUCCAAGAUGGCAUGCAACUUGGACAUCAUUCUCUUUUACGACACCACCGUCAGAGAGUGCAGUUCAACCCCCGCAACAUCACUGGCAUUACGAAUGAGUUUGUUGAUUCUGUUGGUGUCUGCUACCCUCAACCUUCUUCCCCAGCACACAACAGCAAACAUGAUAACACUGGUCACCACAGCCUCGUAGAACAUACUCACCAUCGUCUGGUAGAUGUCAAAGGACCUCAGUCACCUCAGGAAAUAGAGUCGGCUCUGACCCUUCUUGUAAACAGCCUGUGUGUUCUUUGAGCAGUCCUGUUUAUUGUCAAUUCGUAUCCCCAGGUAUUUGUAAUCUUCCACCAUGUCCACACUGACCCCUUGGGUGGAAACAGGGGUCACCAGUGCCUUAACCCUCCUCAGGUCCACCACCAGCUCCUUAGUCUUUUUCACAGUAAGCUGCAGAUGAUUCUGCUCGUACCAUGUGACAAAGAUUUCCACCAUAGCUCUGUACUCAGCCUCAUCUCCAUUGCUGUUCGACAUAACUGCCUUCUCUCGACAUUUACCCUGAAUUACAAAUAUCUCUCUCAUCACCUAUUUUGUGGAUGAACUGAACAUUCAUACUUUACCAUCUGAAGACUCCAAGCCUUGUUUCCCCCGAGCUCAAUAGUUUGGGAGUUAUAUUUACACACAUAUAUACACAUAACACUGUUAAUUUUCAUUUAAUUUGCUGAAGUUACUAUAGUAUAAAUGGAUACUAAUAAGCAUUGUUGUUUUCACAUCAAAAACAGACUCCAGUAGUAGUCUGUUGCUGCUGGUUCGUUUCUGAAGCGUUAAGGUUCGUAACAAAAUGGGGCCUGCUUCUGGGAUAUGAUCAAAUUUGAGGAUUGAUUAAUUAUCAAUUUCAUUGGGGAAAUCUCUUUUGAUUUAUUUCUGUUUGGAAAAUUUGCAGCAAUGGAUGUUGAUCGAUGUCAGGAAGCGCCAACCUCUGUGGCAUUAGAGGACGCCAGAAGGGUUGAGUUGUUGAGUAUUGCUGAAAGGUUAAAACUUGCUAAGGUGAAAUUGACAAUGAGGAGAUGCAGAGGAUAACAGCUUAACAUUAUGUAUCUGAGGGGGUGUUUAAAGUGGAGGAGUUGGAGGGGUUUCCUGAAAGUAAACCUCGUGAGCUUGAGCUCCAGUACAAGUGAGAAAAAUUAAAGAUGGAGGCUGCGGAAAGGCAGAGGCAGUUUGAGGCUAGAGAGGCAGAAAAACAGACAGAAAAUUGUCUCAUAAUGUGUAAUAAAGGGAAAGGCUUAGCUAGCCUAUACUGCUUUGCCAGUUGAUGAAGCAGCUGAUUUUUUAUACUGCACCAAUCAUCGCCACUGGGCUAUAAACGUGCAAGAGCAGUGUGUGGUUCAGUGCUUUGCUCAAAAACACUCACACUGCCUCGGCUGAGGCUCGAAAACAUGACCUUCAGAUCACUAGUUCAACACCGUAACCAGCUGGCCACGCACCACACAUUAUGACCUAGUGAAGCAGGCUGUGCUCAAAACUUAUGAGUUGGUCCCAGAAGCAUAAAGGCAAAAGUUUAGAAAUUUGAAGAAACCUGUGAAACAGACUUAUAUGGAAUUUGCUUAUGAGUAAUUUGUGUGUAUUGCCCGCUGGUGCACAUAUAAAAAAUAUAAAUAAUGAUUUUAACAGCUUGAACGAGUUGGUUUUAACUGAAGAAUCCAAAAAGUGUGUCCCUGAUGACAUAAAGAUGUAUUUAGAUGGAAAUGAUGCUGCCACUAUGCAGGAGUCUGCUAGAUUAGCAGAUCAGUUUGCUUUAACUCAUAAGGUUAUGGUUACCCUGAAUAAGAGUUUCGAAAAGAGUAGCAGGGAUAACCAGGGUAAACCAGAAAUUAAUGCUGGGAUUUGUCACAGUUGUCAAGUUUUGGCUAAACCUCAUCAGGUCAGCCCAGUGGCCCCACUCCGACCUAUACCUGCAUUCUGUGAACCCUUUUCUAAAGAUAUAGAGAAUUAUGUUGGCCCAUUGCCAAAGCCUAAAGCUGGCCAUCAGUAUCUGCUAACUAUUAUGUGUACUGCGUCCAGAUUCCCAGAGGCAAUGCCUCUCAGAAAUAUUAAAGCUAAAACUGUGGCGAAGGCUCUUACUGAGUUUUUUUUUACUUUAUUCGAUUUGCCUCAAGAAAUCCAGUCUGAUCAAGGAAGUAAUUUUACAUCUGGGUUAUUCCAGCAGGUAGUUUCUGAACUGGGAGCAAAACAAAUUACAUCGUCUACAUACCAUCCAGAAUCACAAGGGGCUUUAGAAAGAUUUCACUAUACCCCCAAAACAAUGAUUAAGACAUACUGUGUUGAAAAUGGAAACAACUAGGAUGAAGGAAUACAUUUGCUUUUGUUCGCAGUAAGAGAGUCGGUUCAGGAAUCAUUGGGCUUUACUCCAUUUGAACUCGUAUUUGGACGCAGAGUGAGGUGACCUUUGACCUUGUAAAAGGAGCGGUGGAUUGGUAGGGAUUUACAUGUUAACUUGUUAGACUAUGUUUUAAAUUUCAAAAAUAAACUACACCAAUUCUGUGGUCUAGCGAGACAAAACUUAAAGAUUUCUCAAAACAAAAUGAAGUGUUGGUUUGAUAAGCAGGGUUGUGAAAGAAAAUACCAGGUGUGAGAUAAGGUGCUUGCCUUAUGUUGACGAAUCCACUUCAGGUGAAAUUCAAUAGACCGUAUGAAAUAGUCUCUCAAUUUAAUGAUGUGAAUUAUGUUAUUACAACACACAACCUACGUAAACUAACACACCUGGCACACAUAAAUAUGAUAAAGCCUUGUUUUGACAAUCAGGCACCAUCUGUGUGUGUUGUUGUCAAAACAUAUGAAUCUGGCAACCCUGAGCUUGAAACAAUUGACUCGUCUGAGACUUUUUACAAGCCAAACGUGGUCCCAGUUCGGCUAAUGAACUCCGUUGUUCCAGAAAACAUUGAUAACAAGUCGGCUCAUCUGCAGCCAAAGCAACAACAACAGCUGAAGGAAUUAAUUCUGAAGUUUAAAGAUUUCUUUCCCGAUGUUCGCAAGCAAACCACGGUCUCAUUACAUGAUGCAGAUAUUGGUCAAGCCAAACCGAUUAAACAACACCCAUAUCGCAUGAACGUAGAGAAUGUAAAUUGGCUGAGCAAUUGUUGUAAGCGUGGAAACAGAUUCAGUAGGUCUCAGGGGCACAGAUUAUGGGAAGGUAAAUGAAGUAACAAAAACAGAUGCCUAUCCUGUCGCUAGGAUAGAUGAUUGCAUCGAUAAAGUUGGAAUAGCUAAUUUCUUACAAAGAUUGAUCUGUUGACAGGGUAUUGGUGUGUUCUAUUGACGGACAGACAUAGAGAAAUUUCUGCCUUUGCGACACCAUCUCGGUUGUAUGAAUACAAUGUUUUGCCUUUUGGAAAGAAAAAUGCUCCAGGAACAUCCCAGAGAAUGAUUAAUUUUGAAAUUCGAGGGUUAGAACACACAGAUGCCUAUAUUGAUGACUUAGUCACAGGGAGUGACACUUGGGAAGAGCAUAUCUCUGAUUGGUAAGAAGGCUCUGAGAAGGUUUCUGGGAAUGGAUGGAUAUUAUCGUAAGUUCUGUAAGAACUUUCCUGCUCUCGCUCUUCCUCUGACUAAUCUCCUGAAGAUGGGUGAAAAGUUUGUUUGGACUGAACCUUGUCAGGAGGCAUUUGAUCGAUUGAAAGAUAUUAUUUGAGAUUAGGCCAAUCAAUGUAGUAUUCUCAGCAAAUUUAAUUAGCAGAUUGGAGCUGUGGGUGGCAACACAAGUCAUGGGUGCACAGAGAGUAAAGGAGAGGGCCAAAGUGACAACCCUGUGGGUUAUGUGUGCUGAGGGUCAGAGAGACAGAGGAGAUGGAGCCCACUCUUACCACCUGCUGGUGAUCUGACAGGAAGUCCAGGAUCCAGCUACACAAGGCAGGGUGAAGGCCGAGGUCUCUGAGCUCCUUGUCGAUACUUCAUGCCUUUGUAUGGCUUCUGCUCUGCCCAUGACUGCAAGAAACUGCAGAGAACUUUGGAGAGCAGAGAACAUCAGAGAAACAAGCCUCCACUCCAUGGACUCUCCCUACACUUCCCCUCCCUCGGAAAAGCAGGCCAUGUACACAAAGAACCUCAUAACCCGGACAUUCUUGCUGCAAACCCGCUCCCACAUUGGCGGAGAGAUACAAAAGCCUUAAAGUGCGUAACACCAGGCUGAAGAACGGCUUCCUGUCUGCAGUUAUAAGCCAAAUGAAUGAUAAAAUGGACUCGGCCUCACAAUGUAACUCGACGUGACCCUGCACCAUAUGUCUAUCUGCACCGCACUUUCUCUGCAGCCAUAAUACUUUGUUACAGUUAUUUUUUUGUUGUCUAUGAGCUCAAUGUACUGUUGUAAUGUAUCGAUCUGUGUGGAUGUUACAUCAGGCAAGAUUUUCACUGUAGCUCAGUACGUGAUGAUAAUAAGCAAAUACACCACUUUAAUUGUGUGGAAAUAUUAGACAGACUGAGCUUCUGCUCCGGAACCACAGAAGGAAACUGACCAGUUGUCAUUUCUGUGGAAAGCAAAUAUAUGGAAAAUGCUUCAAUCUCACAUUACGAUCUGCGGUAACUGGGAUCAGGUGACUGGCGGUGGGUCUCCCAUAUCAAUAUCAGAAUCAAGUUUAAUAGCACCAGCAUAUGCCAUGAAAUUCGUUGUCUCUGCGGUAGCAGUAGAACCUAAUUAACAAAGGAUCUUAACAAUUGUGACUUAAAUUAGACCUGUGGUGAGAGAUUUAUUGGAAGAAAAACCCCAACUGGAGGCAAACCACGACUGAAGACGAGGGAACAGCAACAAGUGAACCAGCCCGAGGACUGAGAGCACCGACUGGAGAGAAACCAAUAUGACUCGGAGAUUCCAGUGAUUCAGUCAGGAGAAUGUUUGGUUAAAAUCGACAAGGAAUUUGUCUAUGGGAAUUCAAACACAACACACCAGUUGUGCUGUCUCUGUCUAGAUAUUUAAGGAGCAAGUGAUUCAAUCCGCCAUCCUUCCUGUUCAGACAGUGGGGAGGGAUUCACUCGGUCAUCUGACCAACUGGCACGUCCGUCAUUUUACACAGGGGAGAGACCGUUCACCUGCUCAGACUGUGGGAAUGGAUUCACUCAGUCACCUCAACUGAAACUACAUACUGAGCAAGGCCAUUCAUCUAUUCUGUGUGCGGGAAGGGGUUCAGUCGGUCUUCCCACCUGUGGACACAGCAGGCAGUUCACACUGGGCAGAGGCUGGUCAUCUGCUGA